CCUACGGGAGGCAGCAGUAGGGAAUCUUUCACAAUGGGCGAAAGCCUGAUGGAGCAACGCCGCGUGCAGGAUGAAGGCCUUCGGGUUGUAAACUGCUUUUAUAAGCGAGAAAUAUGAUGGUAACUUAUGAAUAAGGAUCGGCUAACGACGUGCCAGCAGCCGCGGUCAUACGUAGGAUCCGAGCAUUAUCCGGAGUGACUGGGUGUAAAGAGUUGUGUAGGUGGCAUAGUAAGUAGCUAGUGAAAUCUGGUGGCUCAACCAUUCAGACUAUUAGCUAAACUGCUAAGCUCGAGACCGUUAGGGGUAACUGGAAUGUGUAGUGUAGGAGUGAAAUGCGUAGAUAUUAGAAGGAACACCGAUAGCGUAGGCAGGUUACUGGGACGGUUCUGACACUGAGGCACGAAAGCGUAGGGAGCAAACGGGAUUAGAUACCCCAGUAGUC
rnacentral:rRNA from 1 species